GCUCGUCGACACAGCGUGUUCACUAGAGCUCUUACACGUCAGCCCCGUAUUACCGCGACUCAGCGCAUGGAGCUAAAUAACUUUGGGUACGGAUUACGUCCCCCUCACUGCGAGCGAGGCGCUGAGAAUUGGGCCCGGUUCUUCCCGGGGCGGGGGGGGUGGCAGAACCAGCAGGACUUUGCCGCGCCGUGCAGAGAGGAUGAUGGGAUAUCUGUUGCUCGUGUCUCGUUGGAGAAUGUCUGAGGCGAAGAGGCCGUCGUGGGUUAUCGCUCUGCCGACCGUGGGCGAGUUGGUCCCACGGUCAGAGGGGGAAAGGGAAGCGGCUGAGAGUUUGGCACUGUCGGGUUUUUAUCCUCCCGAUACACCCUGACAGCCCAGUCAUCUGCUGAACUAAUGAGGUCAAAACCGCACAGACUUAUCUGGUCAAGGAGACGGAGGGCGUGCGUGCACUCGGCAUUCCUGGCUGGGAUUCCUCUCCGUAGCCGUUAAUGGGGAACAUAAAACAACGUGUCUGGCUUUGCGGCUCGGCGAGACGACGUUUUUCUGGCAACUUAAUCAUAGUUAUGGGCGUUAGGAGGCUCUUUACGGCAGUAAACGAUCAGGGUUUUAAUCUGUUAAAUCUAAUCAAGUGUUAUGUUUUGUGAAAUCAAUGUUUCAAAGUGUUUUUCAUUAAAAUAGAGGCUUAAUUUGUUACAGUGAAUCUGUCAGGAUCGUCCAGUGGAUAAGAAUUACAUACGGCCUAUUAUUACACAUUUCAUAUGGCGUACAUAUUUGUUUUCUGUGAUGCCUGAGCCAAUAUCCAAUUAUCAUGAAAGAAAAUAGAGUUAUGCUUCUCCAA